UCCCUGGUGGCUCAGAGGUUAAAGCGUCUGCCUGCAAUGCGGGAGACCUGGGUUCGAUUCCUGGGUCGGGAA
rnacentral:tRNA from 1 species